CCCAGACCGGAAGUGGAGCGGCCCGAGGGCGCACUCACCCUGGAGGAGCAGGACGACCACCAGGGCAGAGAAGGCGCAGCCCCGGCCUCCGGCGGCUCCGCUCCGCGGCAUCCCGGCUGCUCCUCAGAACUUGGGCUUACUAGAAAAAUGUUUUGUGUUGACUUGAAGACUUCUUUAUUGAUUAUAUGCUAUUCAAACUCGG